rnacentral:ncRNA from 1 species
AUUCUAGCUAUGAAAAGGAAAAGUAAGUUAACUCCAAUACUUAGAGAGAAAACAUCUUAGGCUGCAAAUGUUUUUGUAUAAGGACUAACUGAAAACUACCCUUGAGCUGUUUCUGAUUAGCAUAAAGAUGUGAAAAGAAAACCGGUGACAACGUUAGAGUCAAUGAUUGAGGUGGAUUUUAUCAAAUUAGGUGGAACCGCGGGAAGCUAAGUCUCUCGUCCUAGUA